rnacentral:tRNA from 2 species
GGACUUACUCCUAGUUGGAAUAUCUGACCGAUAAUCAGACAGUAGAGGUUAAAGUCCUCUUAAGUCCU